AGAUCACUAGACAACUUCCGGUUGUCAAAAUCUCGGAGGAGAAAGCAGGGGUGGUCACCGUGGUAGGGCCUCCGCAGAUGGUUGAGGUGCCCUUCGGCACUUGGGUGGCUCAGUCCUUCUUCGUUGAACUCGAUGCAUCCGCGGCGUCCAGACGGCUUCGAUGGCUUGGGCUAUAGGGGUGGAGGCAGCAGCCGGGAGGAUCCGGGGGGCAACAGUUUCUCCGCAAAGUCCUUCAGCUCCUCGGACCUGAGCCACUGGGUGACCACUCCGCCCGACAUCCCUGGCAGCCGCAACCUGCACUGGGGGGAGAAGACCCCACUUUAUGGCGCUGGAGCAGCUCCCACCCCAGUCGGGGCGUCCUGCGAGGAGCCCUAUCCUGGCGGCUGCAGCAGCGGGCCCGGGGCUAGUAGUGAACAGUUAAAUAGAUUUGCUGGAUUUGGUAUUGGACUUGCAAGUCUGUUUACAGAAAAUGUGUUGGCCCAUCCUUGCAUUGUUCUCCGUCGCCAAUGCCAGGUUAAUUAUCAUGCUCGACAUUAUCACCUCACUCCAUUUACAGUCAUCAAUAUUAUGUACAGCUUCAACAAAACCCAGGGUCCAAGAGCCCUUUGGAAAGGAAUGGGAAGCACAUUUAUUGUUCAGGGGGUCACACUUGGAGCUGAAGGAAUCAUCAGUGAAUUCACACCUUUGCCAAGGGAACUUUCUCACAAAUGGAGUCCUAAACAAGUGGGAGAACACCUUCUACUUAAAGCCCUAACUUAUGUGGUGGCAAUGCCUUUUUAUUCAGCGAGCCUGAUUGAGACUGUUCAGAGUGAGAUAAUUCGGGACAAUGCUGGAAUUUUGGAAUGUGUAAAAGAAGGAAUUGGCAGAGUGAUUGGCUUGGGAGUGCCUCAUAGCAAGCGUUUGCUCCCACUUCUUGCUUUGACCUUUCCCACUGUUUUGCAUGGAGUUCUUCAUUAUAUCAUAAGUUCUAUCAUCCAGAAGUUUGUUCUACUGCUUCUGAAAAGGAAGAAUACUCAUAAUCAUCCAACUGAAAGUACCAGUCCUGUGCAGAGUAUAUUGGAUGCUUAUUUUCCUGAACUGAUUGCAAACUUUACUGCCAGCCUCUGCUCUGAUGUUAUGCUUUACCCACUGGAAACAGUUUUGCACCGUCUUCAUAUUCAAGGAACACGUACAAUAAUUGACAAUACAGACCUUGGCUAUGAAGUGCUUCCAAUCAAUACUCAGUAUGAGGGAAUGAGAGACUGUAUCAAUACUAUAAAGCAAGAAGAAGGAAUGCUUGGUUUUUAUAAAGGGUUUGGCGCUAUUAUAGUACAGUAUGCACUGCAUGCAGCUGUUCUUCAGAUUACCAAAAUUAUUUACUCUACACUGCUUCAAAGUAAUGUUUAAAGUAGAGAUCCAGCACUCAGUCCAGGAAACAUAAUCUGGACUCAUAUACUAUGAAAUUGUGAAGGAAAAAUGAAUAUCAGAAAAAAUGGUUAGGAAAAUGAAAUUGGUGAAAAAAGAGUUCAUGGUGACAAUUUUUAUUAUAAAACAUAAUUGUAUCAAAAAUACUCUAAAUUUCCAAAUCAUAACAAAACAGUACUCAUAAGAUUAAUAUGGGGUUGCUGAGCUCUUAUAUGCUGGAUUGAAAAAUAAUAUUCUGAAUAGAAGCAAAUAUUUUUCUUGACAUAAGAAAAGGUAUUUGGACAUAAAAAUUUAUCUUUCCUCAAUAUUUAUUAUCUGUUUAAGCACCUAGAUUGAUAUUAGAAUGGUAUCUCUUAUCCAUUGAGUUACACAGGUCAAUUGAUUAUAUCUUAAUGAUAGCAAUUACAUGUAGUCAACCAUGAAACAGCCAAGAUAUACCUUGCAAAUUAUGAGCAGGAGCUUGAGACUUUGUGUUUUUUAAAUGUGUUGUUAAAGUAUAGUUAUAAAGUAAUAAUUAGUGGAGUACAGACAACUUGCUAUUUAUAAAAUUUUUCUCCAUAUCAUCCUCCAUAUUCAUUUUAUAUACUUCUUAAUUGACUCUACUGCAAGAUUAACCUAAAAUGAAACUAAUGGUGUACUUUCUACCUGUAUCUCACUAAUGAUGAAGCAUACAGAAUGUAGACUCAAUUAUUUGGUAAUAAUGAGGCAGAAUAAAUUAAUUAGUUUUCCACAUCCACACUAGUGAUCCACCAUUAUCACUAAUUCUAAUUUUGCCAGCAAUUUAAUGCAGACAUGAUUUACUUGUAUAUCUGAACCAUCAGGAUACUAUUUUUAAAACCACUUUUCAAACAUUAACCACACUUAAAACUAUAUAAGACAUAGAAUUAUCAUGAGAACUGAUUAUUACUCGUAUCCACUUUUAUAAAUUGUGUUUUGAAAAAAGUCUCAAAAUAUUUCAUUUCAGAGUUCCUUGACCUCCAGUAGACAAAAGCAAAAUUAAUGUAAUAUUUGUUGUCCUUUUUCUUUCUUGUAGUGAUAGUCAAUUAAUUUCCUUUUAAAAUUUUAGUUUUUGAGACUUUGCUAAAAACUUUCCAAAUUACAAGUGCAUAAGGAGGAAAACAAGGCUAUUUCUAUUUUUUAUUUAAUUUGUUCUUUGGAUGAGCACUGAGAAAACGCACUAUAACCCUAAAAUGGAGUUUGGUCAUGGGUAUUUUUAUUUUUUCUUAAUCAGUUUCUUGGAAGAACACAAUUUAACCAAAUGAGGGGAAAAAACUUGAAAGAAUCAGUUUUAAGGAAGAGCAAAAUUCUGCCUUUCUUCUGAAUUAGCUUUGAAUACCUGUCAUCCCCAACGCUGCCUCUUAGACUCUGGCUUCCUUCAAGAUUCAGUUGUAGCAACAUCUUCCAGGAGCACUCCAACCAAAAAUACUACAGAUAAUCUCUCCUAGAAAGCAAAACUAAUUAAAAAACAAAAUUCUAACCAGACCAAAUUCUGAUGGCCAAUUCAAAGGAAAAGUUAUAAUGAGUCAUUUUUCUAGCCAAGGUUAACCAAAAGGACAGACUGAACUAUCUGUGGAGAAGAGGGAUGAAAUUUGGCCAGGAUCCCAGGACACAGAGCAUUCCUAUGCUCAAGGAAUGUAUCAACUGGGAAAAGAUGUUCUAGACUCAUACUGGGCCAUUGAGUACAAAAACAGAUGCCGACUGGCAGCUUUGCCACUUACUAUGCAAAUCUGGGGUGGACUCAGAUAAGUAUCAAUGGGACUUGGGCAGUAUAUUGAGCAAGGAUCAAGUACAGAAGCAAACAGUUCUGUGUGGUUUAAUGUAAAAAAUAGACUCGAAUACAGGACUACAAUCCCCAUGAGCCUUUGCUCCACUGCCUUUGCUCCACUUCCCCAGAAUGCUGCAAAGGCUCGUGGGGAUUGUAGUCCUGUAUUCGAGUCUAUUUUUUUACAUUAGAUCCCAGGAGUUGAGUAUGGCCUCAACUCUAGCUUCUAACCCAAUCUGAAAUCUACAGAAUAAUAUCUUGAAAAGACCAACACUUUCCCUCUGAACUAGCAGAUCUUCCCAGCUAAUAGAUUGACUGUUUCCAGUUCUACUAUUGUUUAGACCCAAGUUUAGGGAUGCAGCAUCAAACCUUGCCCUGGUUCAGACUACUUUGAGAGAUAUGAAAACUUGAAGCCACAAAGAAAUCAGCAAUAAGACUCCAAAGUCAGAAAGUCAACUGAAAGAAUAUGCAAACAAACAAACAAAAACCCCCAAUUCCACCAUCAAGUUAUUUUUAUGACAGGAAUGCUCAAGAAACAACCACAGAAGAAAAGAAUGACUGAAAAUUUUAAGAAUCAUCAGAUAAUUUGAAUGCCCCAAAUGAAAGAACCUAGACAUCAUAUUUCUAGAAAUCAUUUAAAAAAAUGCAAAUUCCCCAACAUCUUAGAAACAGAGGGUAAAGUAAAAUUAAAAAUGAAAGAAUCCAAUCAAUACCUCCUGAAAGAAACUCCAAAAUGAAAACUCUCAGGCAUAUUAUAACCAAAAGUCAAAGAAAAAAUAAUGCAAGCAGCCAGAAAGACUUCAUGUACCAAGGAGCCAGUAUCAGGAUGAUAUGCAAUUUAGAAGCUAUUAAAGAAGCAGAUAACUUGGAAUAUAAUACUCAAAAAGGCAAAGCCUUUGAAAUUAGUGACCCAGCAAAUCAUUAAUGAAAUAGAGAACUUCCAGGCAUUUCUUUUUUUUAAUUUAAAUUUCCCCCAAUUACAUGUAAAAACAGUUUCCAAUAUUUUAAAAGGAAUUUUGAGUCUUGAAUUCUCUCCCUUCUUUCCUCCUUUACCUUCAAAUGGUAAGCCAUCUCAUGUGGAUUUUACAUGUGCAAUCAUGUAAAACAUUUUCCCUUAUUAAUUCUUUUGUAGAAGGAAAUAAAAAAAGAAUUAAGAAAGUGAAAAAAGUUUGCUUUGGUCUGGAUUCAGACUCCAUCAGUUCUUUUUCUGGAACCAGAUGACAUUUUUUUUUUAAUGAUGAAGCCUUUGAGAUAGUUUUGGGUCAUUGUAUUGCUAAGAAUAGAUGUUAUUCACAGUUGUUUAUUGGAAACUAUUCCUGUCACUGUACAAUGUUCUCCUGGUUCUGCUUAUUCCACUCUGCUUUAGUCCUUGUAAGUCUUUCCAGGUUUUUCUGAGCUCCUUCUCCUUGUCAUUUUUAAUAGCACAAUCAUAUUCCAUUAUAGUCAUCUAACUAUAACUUACUCAGCCAUUCCCCAAUUGAUAGGUAUCCCCUCACUUUCCAAUUCUUUGCCUCCACAAAAAGAAAUGCUUUAAAUAUUUUUGUACAUAUAAGUCCUCCCAUCUACUCCUUUUAAAAAAAAAUUUCUUUGGGAUUCAAACCUAGUAUUGUAUUCAACUGUUUUAGUUCUCCAGGCAUAGGUCCAAAUUGCUCUCCAUAACAGUUGAAUCAGUUCACAACAGCCAGAACAAUAGAUUAAUAUCUCAAAUUUCCCAUAUCCUCUCCAAGGUUUUGUCAUUUUCCUUUUCUGUCAUAAUGGCCAAUCUGAUAGGUAUGGGGUGGUACUUCAGAAUUGUUUUAAUUUGCAUUUCUCUAAUUAAUAGUGACUUAGAGCAUUUUUUGCAGGAUUAAUUACUUUGAGAACUGACUAUUUUAUAUCUUUUGACCACUUGGGAUUUGGGGAAUGACUUGUAUUCUUAUAUAUCCAACUCAUUUUUCUAAGUAUUUGAGAAAUGAGGCCUUUAUUACACUUAUUGUAAUUUUUUUUUUGCACCAUUAUGAUUACUGUGUAUUACUUUCCAUCCUAUUUACCCCUGUUUCGUUUCUGACCACCUUAUCCUCCAACUUGCCCUUUUCUAUCAUCCCCACUCCCCUUUUCUUAUCCCAUUUCCCUCCUGCUUUCCUGUAGGGUAAAUGAUUUCAAUGUGAUUGUGUAUGUUCUUCUCUCAAUGAGCCAAUAAAAAUGAGAGUAAGGUUCAAUGAGCGUAAGGGCCUCCCCAUCCCCCUCAUCUUCCCCUUCAAUGUAAAAGCUCUUUCAUGCCUCUUUUAUGUGCAAUUACUUCAUCCUAUUUUUCCUUUCCCCCUUCUCCCAAUGCAUUCCUUUUUCUCAUGCUUUCAUUUAAUUUAAAUUUUUAGAGAUCAUAUUUACUUUACCUCCUUGCCCACUGUCUAUGUAUAUUCCUUCUAACUGCCCUAAUAAGUAUAUAUACUUAGGAGUUAUAUAAGAAUUAUCUUUCCAUGUAAGUAUGCAUAUAGUUUUACUUUAUUGAAUGUCUUUUGAUUUUUCUUUCCUGUUUACCUUUUAUGUUUCUCUUGAGUCUUGCAUUUGAGAGUCAAAUUUUCUAUUCAGCUUUAGUCUUUUCAUCAGGAAUGUUUGAAUUGUAUUUCAUAAAAUCCAAGAUUUAAAUUUUGUUCAAGAUAGAGCUUCAGAGAAGAAGCUUGCUAACUAACUGAAUCCAGAAUGAACCUUGGGGUGUGGUUGAUUGAACAUUUUUUUAAUGUACACUCUUAUGCCAAAGGGGAACUGCCUCCUAAUUGGCUUUUGUCAAUGCGCCCAGCAAAACAUUGGUUUGCUGUCUUUCUCUCUCCUCUAUUUCCCCAUAUCUACAACUAUUAUAGUUUUCCUCUUUGUGGGUAAAAACUUUGUAUACACUUACAGUUAGAAUUUUUGGGGGUGCAGUACGCUUAUGUUUAGUGAUCAAUUGGGGAGAGUAGUCCCCCAAUCAUCAUCAGGGGGGAUUGUGAAUUUAAAAAAUCUCCAUCUUGGUCUAGCACCCCAAAAUUGUGCACACCCACACUACAUGGGCAUGUGCUAGUCAAUGACAAAUCAGAAAUAACUAACUGCCCACCUGGGCUAUCCUAAGCCAAGCUAGAGCCACCAUUGGCACUUGUGAGGCACAGGAAGUGAGGUAGGGAACAGCCUCUGGAAUUCACUCACUUCCUGUGGAGAGAGCUAGAUGCCAGUUCAUGUGAGGAGCUUGGACAGGGAGGAGGCCCGCAGACAGCUUCCCUUAAGAUUGGUCACGUGAGUCAAGGGCUGUUUCCGUCUUUACCUUGGCCCCUUUGGGCCUAACUCCUUCUGGCUCCCUGCUAGAGGUUGAGUAAACCCUUUUCCUUUUUCUCCUUUCUCCUUCUCUCCCUCUCCUUUUUCUUACUCUCAUUGUGAUUAAACCCACGAUAAAUUCCA